rnacentral:tRNA from 1 species
GAGGGUAUAGCUCAGUGGUAGAGCACAUGCCUAGCAUGCACGAGGUCCUGAUUUGAAGCCCCAGUACCUCCA